UACGUAGGUGGCGAGCGUUGUCCGGAUUUAUUGGGUUUAAAGGGUGCGUAGGCGGUCCUAUAAGUCAGUGGUGAAAUAUCGCAGCUCAACUGUGAGGGUGCCAUUGAUACUGUAGGACUUGAGUGAAUUUGAGGUAGGCGGAAUUGACGGUGUAGCGGUGAAAUGCUUAGAUAUCGUCAAGAACACCGAUAGUGAAGACAGCUUACCAAGCUUCAACUGACGCUGAGGCACGAAAGUGUGGGGGAUCAAACAGG
rnacentral:rRNA from 1 species